AUAGCAUCCUGAUCUUAUUUUGUGUAUGCCAUUGAUUUGUUGGAGAAAAUGUGUCAUCCACCUUGCUGAAUCCUCCACAUUCUGAGUGUGGCUGCUUGCUACUGGAGGAUUCCAUCUUGGGCCAGUGGAAACCAUCUUCACAUUGGAUCUUGUUUCCUACUGACGUGCAAGUGGUAUUGAGAGACGAUCAAGGAUCUGGAGUGCUCAUUGUUAUUGGUUUUCAAUACUUCUAGGCAUUUUUAAGAAAACAGAGCUAAAUAUACAUGUGUGUACAAGAAAAAAGGAACUAUGAAAAAGCCAGAUGCUGAUCUGGGAAAUGUCCCAGAAUUAUUCUUUUGAAAAAUAUUAACACUCCAUUACAAAAGGUCUUGCGGAGAAUUAUAUUGAAACUCAGUUCCUGAUGACUAUAAAUAUAUAGAAGCAGCAACACAUUGGAGCAAAACUUGCGAUUUGAGGGUUGCAUUUGGACCUAAAAAGUGCUCCCACGCCUUCAAACACAGUAUGCUAAAGAGGCAUUUGUUUCAUCCACGAAGAACCCGGGCUCCGUGGAAAGGUUGCUCCCGUGACCACUCAACCUCUAUUUGAACAGAAUCUUCAAUGGCCAGAAACUCAGAAGUACCUAGAGUAAUUGGGGCUGCAAGGAAAACGAUGAUGAAACAAAAUGCAUUCAAAGCUCUCAGCUGCCUUUCGAAGAAGAUGAACGUAGUUUUAAAUGGAGGCUUUCUUAUUUCCUUGCUAGUGUGGGUCAGCAAGGGAUUACGCCAGCAAGAUCCUUAAAGUCACUGGAGGUGCUUUUGGGAAAGAAAAGACGUCUGCUCACCCCCACUCCUUAGGGGAUUUAGUUUAAGCCUUAGAAG
rnacentral:lncRNA from 1 species